rnacentral:rRNA from 1 species
UCCGUUUGGUGGUGGGGGAGUACGGCCGGCUACGCCCGGGUAAUACCGCAUACGGUUCCUGCGAGGAGUCUCGCGGGAAAGAAACCUCCGGGGCACAGAGAGGGGCUCGCGGCCUAUCAGCUAGUUGGUGCGGUAACGGCGCACCAAGGCGACGACGGGUAGCUGGUCUGAGAGGAUGGCCAGCCACAUUGGGACUGAGAGACGGCCCAG